UUGGCCUUGUAAGAGCGGGAGGAUACCAAAGACCCUGCGUUUUGACCCCUUGACAUCAAAAACCAGUGGACUUUUUGUAGCAAAAUUCACAAAAUUGGCCAUCUGAUUUUUCUUGAAUGUCUUCGUAGAAGAAUGGUUUUAUGAUCUGGGUUCAUUAUUCAUAUACUGCACAUUUGUUGCUUAUUAGAAGAAUGGUUUUAUGAUCUGGGUUCAUUAUUCAUAUACUGCACAUUUGUUGCUUAGUUAAACGGUCGAUGGAUGUGACUGACUGAGAUUUUUUUGUUGCUUUGACCAUAGUCACAAUACUUCUUGGUAUUAAUCUUAAUAUUUGAUAUUUAUUUUUUUCCCAUUAUUUUCUAAAAAUUGAUUUCUUUUAAAUAGUUUUGACAUGACCAUAGUUGCAAUACUCAUUUGUAUUGUUUAUGCAUGCCAAUCAACUUCAAUUGCUAUGGUGGGGGCGUUUUACUUGCUUCUUGUAUUGCCUUCUUUUUAACUCUUCCUGUAUAGGAUUUUGCCUCGGCCAGAAAUUGAAUAAAGAUGUAAAUUUGAGUUGUUCUGGAAACAAUAAAUCCGUCGUCAUGAGAUAAUUUGUAGUUCUGUAAGUUGAAUAAAUAUCUCUCAGCAAGCAGGCACCAGACCUGAACGUGAUUUAUGGAGUACAUCGUUGGGUGUAUAUGCUUCAAAGUUUAUGGCUAUAUGGGCAUGAAAAAAGGAUCAGACUCUCUGCUAGAUUUCAAGCGUGGACAUUACAUGAAAGAUUUCUCCUACAGCUAUGUUCAUGGCACAUUGGUUAUUGAUACUGUAAUAGCAGCAUUCGUAGAUUCAGGAACAACUAGAUAGCUGAUAAAUAAAAUCCCAUCCCAGACAUACGUGGAGGGGAAUUGCUUCCGGCAGAUUGUCUCUGGACUUUUUAGUGUGCCCGUAGUGUUCGGGGCUGCAGUAAUGCAUGCCACCGGCACUGAUCAGUUUUCUAAGUAAUUGAAAUUAGAAGUAUAUACCAAUGGAUUCCUUUGGCUUAUUAUUGAUAUCAAUGAUUGAUAUGAUAUUUCUAGGCGCAGUCCUCAGAAGUCCAACUUGGGAUGAAUGCCCUAUUUAUCAGACUAGCAUUAUAGUUUGUCUUCCUGAUAUAAACCUUUUUUUGAGUUUAUCCCCAUUAUUUCGUCCCG
rnacentral:lncRNA from 1 species